rnacentral:lncRNA from 1 species
GAAAGAGCCAACUCCAUCACUCAUGGAUUCAGCAGACCGGCCUGCACUCUCUCCACCACGCUGUGGGUACUCGUAGGUCUCACAGGAAGAAGCUGACAGAGGAAGGAGGAUUCAUAAGUACUCAUGGUUGAUUCAUGUGUUGACACUUACCCAUACCCUCACCAGUGUGGUUCAAGGUCUUACUGAUACUCCAGAAGAUACUACUCUCAACCCCAAAUGAUAAGGAAUUUCUUCGAACACAUCACUCCUCAGUUCAAAAAUUCCUCCUGGGCUUCUAGAUGUAGCUCCAGUGUUAGCAUCUGCAGAGAAGCUGUCCUUGACUACUCUACCCUCAUCUAUGCACCUCUCCUUUGACUCCUACACCACUCACCUGUCCUGCUCACCCCAGCCAUCACUUCUCUGAACACCACAGUAACAAUACUUGUCCUGAUUUAUAUGUGUUGGUUUUAUUUUCCCAAUGAGAUGUAAGCUCUGAAGGGCAGGAACAUGUUUUAUGUAUGUCUUUAUCAUCUCAGUUCCAAAACGGAGUAUGACUGCUCAAAUUGUCGAUGGAUUGAAAGACGGCAAAGAGGUCUAAACUAGGAGCUGGGACUCUAGGGUCUGAGUCUCAUCUCUGGCACAAUGACUCUGCAACUCUAUUUAAGUCUCUUAACUGUCAUUGGCCUCAUGUGAGAUGGAGACAAGGAGGUUUUGUCCCACCAACCUCUCUGCCUGGCUUAAACAACAGGAUGGACAAGAAAAGGCUUUGCAAACCAUAAAGCAAGAUGCAAAAUGAAAGGAAUUAAUAUUGUUCUAUUUUUUCAUCAUACAGAGGAGGUUACAUGCAGAGUUGGAAUACUCUCAGUGGAAAACAAGUAACAAUAGAAUUUAGGUACUUCAAAUAAAAGUUUUGACUUCAACCAAAGAGAUUCAAGUAUGAUUUAGAAAAUAUUAAGACCUCGUUUUGCUUUAGCAGUCUGUUAGUCCACACAGGUUUCACUCCAGUUUGGACUGAUCUUCUGAAUUUAUUUUUUAAAUCUUUGAUUUGAUUUACAAAUGAAUAAAAUAC